AUCCGUGGGAACAAAAAAUGAUAGAAGCACCCCAUCCAUGGGAACAAGAAGAAAUAACUCAAAGUAUCCAAAUAUCUGAAACCCUGAGUCAGAACCUAGAGAAACCUUAGGAUAAAAGGGAGUGACAGGCAUAGAACAAUUGGAAGUCUCACUGAGGAAGGGACGCUUUGCCUCAGACCGGGACAAUCGGCACUCACGUCCGCCAUACAAACUAUUGGGACUUCCCUGGCUGAUUGUGGUGUGGAUGUUCUGUGUCAAUCCUGCAACAGACAAUUGACUAGAAGCUUUAAACCGACUGUGGAUUUGACAUCCACCAAUAGCCACCAUUCAUUUUAA
rnacentral:lncRNA from 1 species